rnacentral:rRNA from 1 species
UACGUAGGGUCCGAGCGUUGUCCGGAAUUACUGGGCGUAAAGAGCUCGUAGGUGGUUUGUCGCGUUGUUCGUGAAAACUCACAGCUCAACUGUGGGCGUGCGGGCGAUACGGGCAGACUGGAGUACUGCAGGGGAGAGUGGAAUUCCCGGUGUAGCGGUGAAAUGCGCAGAUAUCGGGAAGAACACCCGUGGCGAAGGCGGCUCUCUGGGACGGUACUGACGCUGAGACGCGAAAAGCGUGGGGAGCGAACAGG